AAUUCUAGCAAUGACUUAAGAUUGAUUCAGGCCUGGAUGGGAGGGAGGGCAGAGAUAGUGGGUGUUGGGAACGCAGACUGCCUGACUGGAAGCUUCCCUUGCCACUCUUCCUGGGCUCCGUCAUCUUUCACUGAAGUUUGGGACAUCUGGGUAUUUGAUGUUUAAGGACUGAAAAAAUUUUAAAUCCACCGAAAACCAAGGCUGCGCCUGUAAUACAAGUGGAUUUUCUCCAUUUAGCCUGGUACUUUCAACUGAAUAUAACGUGGUCCAGUAGAGAUAUCCACCAACCGAGUCCACCACCAUAUCGUUUACCAGCAACUUCACCGGGCACAGUGCACAGUGCACAGGGUGUCUUCAUCUUGCCCCCAAAUCCCACCCUGUCCGCCCUCCUCAGUGGCCCCUGAGCCCGACACUGAUGGACUGCAUCAACCUAGCUCCCUGUUCUCUGGCUUCCAGGGAGGUUCAGCCAAUGGAAGCAGCGGCCGAAGAUCAGAGGGCAGAAGAAAAGAGGGAUGGAGGCAGGAGAAAAGCCUGUAGUAAUGAAAUCUGAGGACUGCAGAACUCUGCGUGACGUCCUAUUCGACUGGAGACUGAUGCAUUGUGCCUUGAU